rnacentral:rRNA from 1 species
AUGCAAGUCGAGCGGGGGAAGGUAGCUUGCUACCGGACCUAGCGGCGGACGGGUGAGUAAUGCUUAGGAAUCUGCCUAUUAGUGGGGGACAACAUCUCGAAAGGGAUGCUAAUACCGCAUACGUCCUACGGGAGAAAGCAGGGGAUCUUCGGACCUUGCGCUAAUAGAUGAGCCUAAGUCGGAUUAGCUAGUUGGUGGGGUAAAGGCCUACCAAGGCGACGAUCUGUAGCGGGUCUGAGAGGAUGAUCCGCCACACUGGGACUGAGACACGGCCCAGACUCCUACAGGAGGCAGCAGUGGGGAAUAUUGGACAAUGGGGGGAACCCUGAUCCAGCCAUGCCGCGUGUGUGAAGAAGGCCUUAUGGUUGUAAAGCACUUUAAGCGAGGGGGAGGCUACUUUAGUUAAUACCUAGAGAUAGUGGACGUUACUCGCAGAAUAAGCACCGGCUAACUCUGUGCCAGCAGCCGCGGUAAUACAGAGGGUGCGAGCGUUAAUCGGAUUUACUGGGCGUAAAGCGUGCGUAGGCGGCUUAUUAAGUCGGAUGUGAAAUCCCGAGCUUAACUUGGGAAUUGCAUUCGAUACUGGUGAGCUAGAGUAUGGGAGAGGAUGGCAGAAUUUCCAGGUGUAGCGGUGAAAUGCGUAGAGAUC